rnacentral:tRNA from 1 species
UCCUUGGUGGUCCAGUGGCUAAGACCCUGAGCUCCCAACGCAGGGGACCCGGGGUUCAAUCCCUGGUCAGGGAA